AGCACAGAGAGCGGGACUUAGCUAGUGCUUUGCACGCGGUGAUUUCUUUCUGUUGGGGGACACUCUGGAGGUUGCAGGCUAGGAAAAUAUGGCUCAAGUCUCACUGCGUCGUAGAUGCCACCUGCUCAAGCGUGGAACCGAGGCGUUGGAGGGCGCGAGUAGCGAUCCCCUCAGGCGUGGGGUACAGCUCCAGCCCGGCAAAGGGAUCUCUCCACUCUCUGCUCAGGUCAACCAGUGAGUUCAGUGCAACGGGGCGCUGGGCCAAACCACACCCUCACCGGAGGAGCCCACAGGGUUCCAGUUCCGGGUACUCUUGACCUGAGAUGGAGAGAGAAUAUACCAGUCACCUUCAAAUUGAGGCGUUCUCUGCUGUGCGACCUUGAACAUAUUUCUGAACCCCUCUGGGCCAGUUUUCGCAUCUGUAAAACUAAGAUAAUUAGCCAUACGAGUGUGAUGGCUACUGCUUGUAAGCCUGUGGGUAUUCGGAAGGCUGGGGCAGAAGAAGGGUCCCACUUUCAUAGUUCUAGGCCAGCCUGGGCUACAAAAGAAACCCAGUCUCAGAAAAUCAAGCAAACAACCUUUUUUAUUUUUUAUUUUUCUUUUUUUUUUUAAUUUUAUGAUUCCAACACAUCACUGAAGGAAAUGGAAAACAGUAGCUGGUCUGAAUUUAGCCAAGUAACAGCCGACAGCCACUAGCCAUUAACAUCAUACCACUGACAAUCAACAGCCGAUGGCAGAAACUCUCCAUAUAUGUCUCCCUUUGGGGUGUAUUACAUUUAAUUGAAAAUACAUGUGAGCCAGGUGUGGCGAUGUUCACCGAUAAUCCUAUACAUACAUGGGGCUGAUGCAGGAGAAUCUUUAGUGGGAGAGCCACACUGGGCUACCUAAUAAAAUCCUGUCUGGAUUUAAAAAUAAAAAUAAAACAAAACAAAACCAAGAACAACAACCAAAGCAAAA
rnacentral:lncRNA from 1 species